GGGCUGAUGGUCUAGAGGUAUGAUUCUCGCUUUGGGAUUCGUUAAUAGCGACUACUAAAUUGCGAGAGGUCCCGGGUUCAAUCCCCGGUCAGCCCC